AGAGUUUGAUCAUGGCUCAGAUUGAACGCUGGCGGCAUGCUUUACACAUGCAAGUCGAACGGCAGCGCGGGGCAACCUGGCGGCGAGUGGCGAACGGGUGAGUAAUAUAUCGGAACGUACCCAGAAGUGGGGGAUAACGUAGCGAAAGUUACGCUAAUACCGCGUACGAUCUACGGAUGAAAGUGGGGGACCUUCGGGCCUCAUGCUUUUGGAGCGGCCGAUAUCUGAUUAGCUAGUUGGUGAGGUAAAGGCUCACCAAGGCGACGAUCAGUAGCUGGUCUGAGAGGACGACCAGCCACACUGGAACUGAGACACGGUCCAGACUCCUACGGGAGGCAGCAGUGGGGAAUUUUGGACAAUGGGCGCAAGCCUGAUCCAGCAAUGCCGCGUGAGUGAAGAAGGCCUUCGGGUUGUAAGGCUCUUUUGUCAGGGAAGAAACGGUUGGGGCUAAUAUCCCCGGCUAAUGACGGUACCUGAAGAAUAAGCACCGGCUAACUACGUGCCAGCAGCCGCGGUAAUACGUAGGGUGCAAGCGUUAAUCGGAAUUACUGGGCGUAAAGCGUGCGCAGGCGGUUUUGUAAGUCUGUCGUGAAAGCCCCGGGCUCAACCUGGGAAUUGCGAUGGAGACUGCAAGGCUUGAAUCUGGCAGAGGGGGGUAGAAUUCCACGUGUAGCAGUGAAAUGCGUAGAGAUGUGGAGGAACACCGAUGGCGAAGGCAGUCCCCUGGGUCAAGAUUGACGCUCAUGCACGAAAGCGUGGGGGAGCAAACAGGAUUAGAUACCCUGUAGUCCACGCCCUAAACGAUGUCUACUAGUUGUCGGGUUUUAAUUAACUUGGUAACGCAGCUAACGCGUGAAGUAGACCGCCUGGGGAGUACGGUCGCAAGAUUAAAACUCAAAGGAAUUGACGG
rnacentral:rRNA from 1 species